CACGUAGGUAACCUGCCCCGGAGCGGGGGAUAACAUUUGGAAACAGAUGCUAAUACCGCAUAACAACAAAAGCCACAUGGCUUUUGUUUGAAAGAUGGCUUUGGCUAUCACUCUGGGAUGGACCUGCGGUGCAUUAGCUAGUUGGUAAGGUAACGGCUUACCAAGGCGAUGAUGCAUAGCCGAGUUGAGAGACUGAUCGGCCACAAUGGAACUGAGACACGGUCCAUACUCCUACGGGAGGCAGCAGUAGGGAAUCUUCCACAAUGGGCGCAAGCCUGAUGGAGCAACACCGCGUGAGUGAAGAAGGGUUUCGGCUCGUAAAGCUCUGUUGUUGGAGAAGAACGUGCGUGAGAGUAACUGUUCACGCAGUGACGGUAUCCAACCAGAAAGUCACGGCUAACUACGUGCCAGCAGCCGCGGUAAUACGUAGGUGGCAAGCGUUAUCCGGAUUUAUUGGGCGUAAAGCGAGCGCAGGCGGUUGCUUAGGUCUGAUGUGAAAGCCUUCGGCUUAACCGAAGAAGUGCAUCGGAAACCGGGCGACUUGAGUGCAGAAGAGGACAGUGGAACUCCAUGUGUAGCGGUGGAAUGCGUAGAUAUAUGGAAGAACACCAGUGGCGAAGGCGGCUGUCUGGUCUGCAACUGACGCUGAG
rnacentral:rRNA from 1 species